ensembl:lncRNA
GGAAAGCAUUGCAAUAGAUGUAUGCUGUGUAAAAGUCCUCUCCUUAAGUCCAGUGGGAGCGGGAAGAGUUGGGACGGGCAACAUGAAGCUCUGUACAAUGACAAACAGAUUAAUUCAUCACCAUUAAUACUGUUGUUUUUUUGACAAUUGAAACCCACAUAGUGGUUUUCUUCCCAUGAUUUCUGUUUGAAUCAAUAGAUGUGAUUGUGAUUUUGAAAUCAGAAAGCUGGCUUGGUUGGCUUGGUCAAACAUGUUGCUGAUACUUCUGCAGUGGGUUUACGCAGUACCUCGCUGACAAUGUUUACAAUGGUUCGUGAGUUAGUUUUGUGAUUUAAAAAGGAUGUGUAUCUACUGAAAGUCUGUGUGUUUACAAAAGCUGUUGUGCGGUGGGGAACUUUGGCCCAAUCAGAUCGCUCACCCUCUGCGUCCCAAAUGGCACCCUAUUCCCUAUGUAGUGCACUACUUUUGACUGGGCUCUGGCCCAAAGUUGUGCACUAGAUAGGGAGCCAUUUGGGACUUAGACAGUGUCUAUCACUUCACCAUGAAAUAGACUGAGGCACUGGAAUGUUUAUUUUACCAGGUCGUCCCAUUCAAGGUCCAACACCUCUUUUUCAAGGGAAACCUUGAUCAUAUGUUUGGUUUAUAAUGCGCAAUGCUUUUCUACCUGAUCAUCGUCAUCAUCACUUAGUAAUAGUACAACAUUCUGCACAACUGUGAUGUAAAUAUAAGCUUCAUCUGUGAAGUAGUGAAAUAUAUUUCAAGAUCAAUCAGGACGAUGUACAAAUGUAAUGUUUGUGGUGAAGCUGUACAGAAAUUGAAUGUAUCCAUAUCAGUCUUUUAGUUGCUCGAAAACGUAAGGGAUGUACAAUUUGACUUUUGAGGUGAAAUAUUUUUCAUACUACUGUGCUUGUAAAUGCAGGUAAAUAUCAGAUUCUCAAUUGUGUCUCAAUGGGCUCUGCCUGGUCUGCGACAUGCUCUGUGUUUUUGUUGUAAAUAGGAGCCAUAUCAUGUCAGUGAAGUGCCAAUGUACUGUAAGUAAAGUCUAAUUUCUCCUGUA